rnacentral:rRNA from 1 species
UGGGGAAUAUUGCACAAUGGGCGCAAGCCUGAUGCAGCCAUGCCGCGUGUAUGAAGAAGGCCUUCGGGUUGUAAAGUACUUUCAGCGGGGAGGAAGGGAGUAAAGUUAAUACCUUUGCUCAUUGACGUUACCCGCAGAAGAAGCACCGGCUAACUCCGUGCCAGCAGCCGCGGUAAUACGGAGGGUGCAAGCGUUAAUCGGAAUUACUGGGCGUAAAGCGCACGCAGGCGGUUUGUUAAGUCAGAUGUGAAAUCCCCGGGCUCAACCUGGGAACUGCAUCUGAAACUGGGAAGCUUGAGUCUCGUAGAGGGGGGUGGAAUUCCAGGUGUAGCGGUGAAAUGCGUAGAGAUCUGGAGGAAUACCGGUGGCGAAGGCGGCCCCCUGGACGAAAACUGACGCUCAGGUGCGAAAGCGUGGGGAGCAAACAGG